UUGUUUUUAUUUCGUGUCAUUUUGAUUAUCACAAAAUGGAAUGGGUUGAAGAUGAUAGAUAGGUAGAAAUUGAGAUUUUAUUUUUAUAGAUUCAUUUGGGAUGUGAAGGGGUUUGCUUUAGUUUUAGAGUUAAUUAAUACUUAUACUUUGAAAAAUAGAAUUUUU
ensembl:ncRNA C08C3.9 ncRNA